rnacentral:rRNA from 1 species
GGGAAGAGCCUGGUAUGAUUUAGCUGUAAUUAUAGUAGAACAAGUUGGGAAGCUUGACGAUAGAGGGUGAUAGUCCCGUAUACGAAAUAAUCACAGUGGAACUAAGCAUACGAACAAGUAGGACGGGGCACGUGGAACCUUGUCUGAAUAUGGGGGGACCAUCCUCCAAGGCUAAAUACUCCUGAAUGACCGAUAGUGAACUAGUACCGUGAGGGAAAGGUGAAAAGAACCCUUAUAAAGGGAGUGAAAUAGAAUCUGAAACCGCUUGCAUACAAGCAGUAGGAGCAUGAUUUAGUCAUGUGACUGCGUACCUUUUGUAUAAUGGGUCAGCGAGUUAUUUUUAGUGGCGAGGAUAACUGAAUAAGGGAUCCGUAGCGAAAGCGAGUUUUAAUAGGGCGACUAGUCGCUAGGAGUAGACCCGAAACCGGCGCGAUCUAUCCAUGGCCAGGUUGAAGAUUAGG